ensembl:lncRNA
AUGUUAGAGCACACACACACACACUGCUCACCUAUACACACACACACACACACACACACACACACACACUGCUCACCCUAUACACACACACACACUGCUCACCUAUACACACACACACACUGCUCACCUAUACACACACACUGCUCACCUAUACACACACUGCUCACCUAUACACACACACACACACACACUGCUCACCUACACACACACUGCUCACCUAUAUACACACACACACACACACUGCUCACCUAUACACACACACACACACACACACACACACACUGCUCACCUAUAUACGCACUGCUCACCUAUAUACGCACUGCUCACCUAUAUACGCACUGCUCACCUAUAUACGCACUGCUCACCUAUACACACACACACUGCUCACCUAUAUACACACACACACACUGCUCACCUAUAUACAAACACACACUGCUCACCUAUAUACACACUGCUCACCUAUACACACACACACACUGCUCACCUAUAUACGCACUGCUCACCUAUAUACGCACUGCUAUACGCACUGCUCACCUAUAUACACACUGCUCACCUAUACACACACACACACACACACACACUGCUAACCUAUACACACACACACACUGCUCACCUAUACACACACACACACUGCUCACCUAUACACACACACACUGCUCACCUAUACACACACACACUGCUCACCUAUACACACACACACACUGCUCACCUAUACACACACACACUGCUCACCUAUACACACACACACUGCUCACCUAUAUACACACACACUGCUCACCUAUAUACACACAUACUGCUCACCUAUAUACACACACACUGCUCACCUAUAUACACACACACACUGCUCACCUAUACACACACACUGCUUACCUAUAUACACACUGCUCACAUAUACACACUGCUCACCUAUACACACACUGCUCACCUAUAUACACACACUGCUCACCUAUACACACACACACACACACUGCUCACCUAUAUACACACACACUGCUCACCUAUAUGCACACACACUGCUCACCUAUAUGCACACACACUGCUCACCUAUACAUACACACACACUGCUCACCUAUACAUACACACACUGCUCACCUAUACACACUGCUCACCUAUACACACACACACACUGCUCACCUAUAUACACACUGCUCACCUAUACACACACACACUGCUCACCUAUAUACAGACACACUGCUCACCUAUACACACACACACUGCUCACCUAUACACACACACACACACACACACUGCUCACCUAUAUACACACUGCUCACCUAUAUACACACACACACACACACACACACACACACACACACACACUGCUCACCUAUACACACACACACACACACACUGCUCACCUAUACACACACACACACACACACACUGCUCACCUAUACACACACACACACACACUGCUCACCUAUACACACACACACACACACUGCUCACCUAUACACACACACACACACUGCUCACCUAUACACACACACACACACUGCUCACCUAUACACACACACACACACACACACACACUGCUCACCUAUACACACGCACACACUGCUCACCUAUAUACGCACACACUGCUCACCUAUAUACGCACACACUGCUCACCUAUAUACGCACACACUGCUCACCUAUACACACUGCUCACCUAUACACACACACUGCUCACCUAUAUACACACACUGCUCACCUAUACACACACACACACACACUGCUCACCUAUAUACACACACACUGCUCACCUAUAUAUACACACACACUGCUCACCUAUAUACACACACACACUGCUCACCUAUACACACACACACACUGCUCACCUAUACACACACACACACUGCUCACCUAUACACACACACACACUGCUCACCUAUACACACACACACACUGCUCACCUAUACACACACACUGCUCACCUAUAUACACACACACUGCUCACCUAUAUACACACACACACACACUGCUCACCUAUACACACACACACACACACACACACACACUGCUCACCUAUACAAACACACACACACUGCUCACCUAUAUACGCACUGCUCACCUAUAUACGCACUGCUCACCUAUAUACGCACUGCUCACCUAUAUACGCACUGCUCACCUAUACACACACACACACACUGCUCACCUAUAUACACACACACACACUGCUCACCUAUAUACAAACACACACUGCUCACCUAUAUACACACUGCUCACCUAUACACACACACACACUGCUCACCUAUAUACGCACUGCUCACCUAUAUACGCACUGCUAUACGCACUGCUCACCUAUAUACACACUGCUCACCUAUAUACACACACACUGCUCACCUAUAUACACACACACACUGCUCACCUAUAUACACACACACACACACUGCUCACCUAUACACACACACACACACACACACACACACACACUGCUCACCUAUACAAACACACACACACUGCUCACCUAUAUACGCACUGCUCACCUAUAUACGCACUGCUCACCUAUAUACGCACUGCUCACCUAUAUACGCACUGCUCACCUAUAUACGCACUGCUCACCUAUAUACGCACUGCUCACCUAUAUACACACACACACACACUGCUCACCUAUAUACACACACACACACACUGCUCACCUAUAUACAAACACACACUGCUCACCUAUAUACACACUGCUCACCUAUACACACACACACACUGCUCACCUAUAUACGCACUGCUCACCUAUAUACGCACUGCUAUACGCACUGCUCACCUAUACACACACACACACUGCUCACCUAUACACACACACACUGCUCACCUAUACACACACACACUGCUCACCUAUACACAGACGAACUGCUCACCUAUACACACACACACACUGCUCACCUAUACACACACACACACUGCUCACCUAUACACACACACACUGCUCACCUAUACACACACACACUGCUCACCUAUACACACACACACUGCUCACCUAUACACACACACACUGCUCACCUAUAUACACACACACUGCUCACCUAUAUGCACACACACUGCUCACCUAUAUGCACACACACUGCUCACCUAUACAUACACACACACUGCUCACCUAUACAUACACACACUGCUCACCUAUACACACACACACACUGCUCACCUAUAUACACACUGCUCACCUAUACACACACACACUGCUCACCUAUAUACAGACACACUGCUCACCUAUACACACACACACUGCUCACCUAUACACACACACACUGCUCACCUAUACACACACACACACACUGCUCACCUAUAUACACACUGCUCACCUAUACACACACACACACACACACACACACACACACACACUGCUCACCUAUACAUACACACACACACACACACUGCUCACCUAUACACACACACACACACACACACUGCUCACCUAUACACACACACACACACACUGCUCACCUAUACAUACACACACACACACACACUGCUCACCUAUACAUACACACACACACACACACACUGCUCACCUAUACAUACACACACACACACACACUGCUCACCUAUACACACACACACACACACACACUGCUCACCUAUACACACACACACACACACACACACUGCUCACCUAUACACACACACACACACACACACACUGCUCAGCUAUACACACGCACACACUGCUCACCUAUACACAUGCACACACUGCUCACCUAUACACACGCACACACUGCUCACCUAUAUAUGCACACACUGCUCACCUAUAUACACACUGCUCACCUAUACACACACACUGCUCACCUAUAUACACACACUGCUCACCUAUACACACACACACACACACACACUGCUCACCUAUAUACACACACACUGCUCACCUAUAUACACACACACUGCUCACCUAUAUACACACACACUGCUCACCUAUAUAUACACACACACUGCUCACCUAUAUACACACACACACUGCUCACCUAUAUACACACACACACACUGCUCACCUAUACACACACACACACUGCUCACCUAUACACACACACACACUGCUCACCCUAUACACACACACACACUGCUCACCUAUAUACACACACACUGCUCACCUAUAUACACACACACACUGCUCACCUAUACACACACACACACUGCUCACCUAUACACACACACACACUGCUCACCUAUACACACACACACACACUGCUCACCUAUACACACACACACACACACACACUGCUCACCUAUAUACACACACACUGCUCACCUAUACACACACACUGCUCACCUAUAUACACACACACUGCUCACCUAUACACACACACACACACUGCUCACCUAUACACACACACACACUGCUCACCUAUACACACACACACACACACUGCUCACCUAUACACACACACACACACACACUGCUCACCUAUACACACACACACUGCUCACCUAUAUACACACACUGCUCACCUAUACACACACACUGCUCACCUAUAUACACACACAAUGCUCACCUAUAUACAGACACACUGCUCACCUAUAUACACACACACUGCUCACCUAUACACACACACACACACACACACACACACACUGCUCACCUAUACACACACACACACUGCUCACCUAUACACACACACACACACACUGCUCACCUAUACACACACACACACACACCACACACACACACACACACUGCUCACCUAUUCACACACACACACACACUGCUCACCUAUUCACACACACACUGCUCACCUAUACACACACACACUGCUCACCUAUACACACACACACACUGCUCACCUAUACACACACACACUGCUCACCUAUACACACACACACACACUGCUCACCUAUACACACACACACACACUGCUCACCUAUACACACACACACACACACACUGCUCACCUAUACACACACACACACUGCUCACCUAUAUACGCACACACUGCUCACCUAUAUACGCACACACUGCUCACCUAUACACACGCACACACUGCUCACCUAUAUACGCACACACUGCUCACCUAUACACACACGCACACACUGCUCACCUAUACACACACACACACUGCUCACCUAUAUACGCACUGCUCACCUAUAUACACACACACUGCUCAUCUAUAUACACACACACUGCUCACCUAUAUACACACACACUGCUCACCUAUACACACACACACACUGCUCACCUAUACACACACACACUGCUCACCUAUACACACACACACACACACACACUGCUCACCUAUACACACUGCUCACCUAUACACACACACACACACUGCUCACCUAUACACACACUGCUCACCUAUACACACACACACACACACACACACUGCUCACCUAUACACACACACACACUGCUCACCUAUACACACACACACCCUGCUCACCUAUACACACACACACACACUGCUCACCUAUAAACACACACACACACUGCUCACCUAUACACACACACACACACACUGCUCACCUAUACACACACACACACACUGCUCACCUAUACACACACACACACACUGCUCACCUAUACACACACACACACACUGCUCACCUAUACACACACACACACACUGCUCACCUAUACACACACACUGCUCACCUAUACACACACACACACACACCACACACACACACACACUGCUCACCUAUAUACACACACACUGCUCACCUAUAUACACACACACUGCUCAACUAUAUACACACUGCUCACCUAUAUAUACACACACACACACACACACACACUGCUCACCUAUAUACAAACACACUGCUCACCUAUAUACACACUGCUCACCUAUAUACACACACACUGCUCACCUAUAUACACACACACUGCUCACCUAUACACACACACACUGCUCACCUAUAUACACACUGCUCACCUAUACACACACACACACACACACACACACUGCUCACCUAUAUACACACACACUGCUCACCUAUAUACACACACACUGCUCACCUAUAUAUACACACACCACACACACACACACACACACACCACACACACACACACACACACACACACACACACACACACACACACUGCUCACCUAUAUACACACACACUGCUCACCUAUAUACACACACACUGCUCACCUAUAUACACAAUGCUCACCUAUAUACACACACACACACACACUGCUCACCUAUAUACACACACUGCUCACCUAUAUACACACUGCUCACCUAUACACACACACACACUGCUCACCUAUACACACACACACACACACACUGCUCACCUAUAUACACACUGCUCACCUAUAUAUAUACACACACACACACACACACACACUGCUCACCUAUAUACACAAACACUGCUCACCUAUACACACACACACUGCUCACCUAUAUACACACUGCUCACCUAUACACACACACACACACACACACUGCUCACCUAUACACACACACUGCACACACACACACACACACACACACACACACACACUGCUCACCUAUAUACACAACCACUGCUCACCUAUAUACACACACACUGCUCACCUAUAUACACACUGCUCACCUAUAUAUACACACACACCACACACACACACACACACACACACACACUGCUCACCUAUAUACACACACACUGCUCACCUAUAUACACACACACUGCUCACCUAUAUACACACACACACACACACACACUGCUCACCUAUAUACACACACACUGCUCACCUAUACACACACACACUGCUCACCUAUAUACACACUGCUCACCUAUACACACACACACACUGCUCACCUAUACACACACACACACACUGCUCACCUAUACACACACACACACUGCUCACCUAUACACACACACACACUGCUCACCUAUAUACACACACACACACUGCUCACCUAUAUACACACACACACACUGCUCACCUAUAUACACACACACACUGCUCACCUACACACACACACACACACACACUGCUCACCUAUACACACCACACACACACACACACACUGCUCACCUAUACACACACACACACACACACACACACUGCUCACCUAUACACACACACUGCUCACCUAUAUACACACACACUGCUCACCUAUAUACACACUGCUCACCUAUAUACACACACACACACUGCUCACCUAUAUACACACACACACUGCUCACCUACACACACACACACACACACACUGCUCACCUAUACACACACACACACACACACACACACACACACACACACCACACACACUGCUCACCUAUACACACACACACACACACACACACACACACACACACACACACCACACACACACACUGCUCACCUAUAUACACACACACUGCUCACCUAUAUACACAAUGCUCACCUAUAUACACACACACACACACUGCUCACCUAUAUACACACACUGCUCACCUAUAUACACACUGCUCACCUAUACACACACACACACUGCUCACCUAUACACACACACACACACACACACACACACUGCUCACCUAUAUACACACUGCUCACCUAUAUAUAUACACACACACACACACACUGCUCACCUAUAUACACAAACACUGCUCACCUAUACACACACACACUGCUCACCUAUAUACACACUGCUCACCUAUACACACACACACACACACACACACUGCUCACCUAUACACACACACUGCACACACACACACACACACACACACACACACACACACAGCUCACCUAUAUACACAACCACUGCUCACCUAUAUACACACACACUGCUCACCUAUAUACACACUGCUCACCUAUAUAUAUACACACACACACACACACACACUGCUCACCUAUAUACACACACACUGCUCACCUAUAUACACACACACUGCUCACCUAUAUACACACACACUGCUCACCUAUAUACACACACACUGCUCACCUAUAUACACACACACACUGCUCACCUAUAUACACACUGCUCACCUAUAUACACACACACACUGCUCACCUAUAUACACACACACUGCUCACCUAUACACACACACACUGCUCACCUAUAUAUACACACACACACACACACACACACUGCUCACCUAUAUACACACACACACUGCUCACCUAUAUACACACACACUGCUCACCUAUAUACACAAUGCUCACCUAUAUACACACACACACACACACUGCUCACCUAUAUACACACACUGCUCACCUAUAUACACACUGCUCACCUAUACACACACACACACUGCUCACCUAUACACACACACACACACACACUGCUCACCUAUAUACACACUGCUCACCUAUAUAUAUACACACACACACACACACACACACACUGCUCACCUAUAUACACAAACACUGCUCACCCUAUACACACACACACUGCUCACCUAUAUACACACUGCUCACCUAUACACACACACACACACACACACACUGCUCACCUAUACACACACACUGCACACACACACACACACACACACACACACACACACACACACACACUGCUCACCUAUAUACACAACCACUGCUCACCUAUAUACACACACACUGCUCACCUAUAUACACACUGCUCACCUAUAUAUACACACACACACACACACACACACACACACACACACACACACACACACACUGCUCACCUAUAUACACACACACUGCUCACCUAUAUACACACACACACACACACACACACUGCUCACCUAUAUACACACACACUGCUCACCUAUACACACACACACUGCUCACCUAUAUACACACUGCUCACCUAUACACACACACACACACACUGCUCACCUAUACACACACACACACACUGCUCACCUAUACACACACACACACUGCUCACCUAUACACACACACACACUGCUCACCUAUAUACACACACACACACUGCUCACCUAUAUACACACACACACACUGCUCACCUAUAUACACACACACACUGCUCACCUACACACACACACACACACACACUGCUCACCUAUACACACACACACACACACACACACACACACACACCACACACACACACACACACACACACACACACACACACACUGCUCACCUAUACACACACACACACACACACACACACUGCUCACCUAUACACACACACUGCUCACCUAUACACACACACUGCUCACCUAUAUACACACACACUGCUCACCUAUAUACACACUGCUCACCUAUAUACACACACACACACUGCUCACCUAUAUACACACACACACUGCUCACCUACACACACACACACACACACACACUGCUCACCUAUAUACACACACACACACACACACACACACACACACACACACACACACUGAUCACCUAUACACACACACACACACACACACACACACACACACACACUGCUCACCUAUAUACACACACACUGCUCACCUAUAUACACACACUGCUCACCUAUAUACACACACUGCUCACCUAUACACACACACACACUGCUCACCUAUACACACACACACACACACACACACACACACACACACACUGCUCACCUAUAUACACACUGCUCACCUAUAUAUAUACACACACACACACACACUGCUCACCUAUAUACACAAACACUGCUCACCUAUACACACACACACUGCUCACCUAUAUACACACUGCUCACCUAUACACACACACACACACACACACUGCUCACCUAUACACACACACUGCACACACACACACACACACACACACACACACACACACACACACACACAGCUCACCUAUAUACACAACCACUGCUCACCUAUAUACACACACACUGCUCACCUAUAUACACACUGCUCACCUAUAUAUAUACACACACACACACACACACACACACUGCUCACCUAUAUACACAACACACACUGCUCACCUAUAUACACACACACUGCUCACCUAUAUACACACUGCUCACCUAUAUACACACUGCUCACCUAUAUACACACACACUGCUCACCUAUAUACACACACACUGCUCACCUAUAUACACACACACACUGCUCACCUAUAUACACACACACUGCUCACCUAUACACACACACACUGCUCACCUAUAUAUACACACACACACACACACACACACUGCUCACCUAUAUACACACACACUGCUCACCUAUAUACACACACACUGCUCACCUAUAUACACACACACUGCUCACCUAUAUACACACACACACACACACACACACACACACACUGCUCACCUAUAUACACACACUGCUCACCUAUAUACACACACUGCUCACCUAUAUACACACACACUGCUCACCUAUAUACACACUGCUCACCUAUUUACACACACACACACACUGCUCACCUAUAUACACACACUGAUCACCUAUACACACACACACUGCUCACCUAUAUACACACUGCUCACCUAUACACACACACACACUGCUCACCUAUACACACACACACACACUGCUCACCUAUAUACACACUGCUCACCUAUAUAUACACACACACACACACACACACUGCUCACCUAUAUACACAAACACUGCUCACCUAUACACACACACACUGCUCACCUAUAUACACACUGCUCACCUAUACACACACACACACACACACACACACACACUGCUCACCUAUACACACACACUGCACACACACACACACACACCACACACACACACUGCUCACCUAUAUACACAACCACUGCUCACCUAUAUACACACACACUGCUCACCUAUAUACACACUGCUCACCUAUACACACACACACACUGCUCACCUAUACACACACACACACUGCUCACCUAUACACACACACACACUGCUCACCUAUAUACACACACACACACACUGCUCACCUAUAUACACACACACUGCUCACCUACACACACACACACACACACACACUGCUCACCUAUACACACACACACACACACACACACACACACACUGCUCACCUAUACACACACACACACACACACACACACACACACACACACACACACACACACUGCUCACCUAUACACACACACUGCUCACCUAUACACACACACACACACACACAGACACACACAGACACACACUGCUCACCUAUAUACACACACACUGCUCACCUAUAUACACACACACUGCUCACCUAUAUACACACUGCUCACCUAUAUACACACACACACUGCUCACCUAUAUACACACACACUGCUCAACUAUACACACACACACUGCUCACCUAUAUACACACUGCUCACCUAUACACACACACACACACACACUGCUCACCUAUACACACACACACACACACACACACUGCUCACCUAUACACACACACACUGCUCACCUAUAUACACAAACACACACUGCUCACCUAUAUACACACACACACUGCUCACCUAUAUACACACACACACACACACACUGCUCACCUAUAUACACACACACACACACACACUGCUCACCUAUAUACACACACACUGCUCACCUAUAUACACACACACACACACACACACUGCUCACCUAUACACACACACACUGCUCACCUAUAUACACACUGCUCACCUAUACACACACACACUGCUCACCUAUACACACACACUGCUCACCUAUACACACACACACACACACACACACACACACUGCUCACCUAUAUACACACACACUGCUCACCUAUAUACACACACACUGCUCACCUAUAUACACACACACUGCUCACCUAUACACACACACACACUGCUCACCUAUACACACACACACACACACACACACACACUGCUCACCUAUACACACACACACACUGCUCACCUAUACACACACACACACUGCUCACCUAUACACACACACACACUGCUCACCUAUAUACACACACACUGCUCACCUAUAUACACACACACUGCUCACCUAUAUACACACACACACACACACACACACACACACACACACACUGCUCACCUAUAUACACACACACACACACACACACACACACACACACACCACACACUGCUCACCUAUAUACACACACACUGCUCACCUAUACACACACACACUGCUCACCUAUAUACACACACACUGCUCACCUAUACACACACACACACACUGCUCACCUAUAUACACACACACUGCUCACCUAUAUACACACACACUGCUCACCUAUAUACACACUGCUCACCUAUACACACACACACACUGCUCACCUAUACACACACACACACUGCUCACCUAUACACACACACACACUGCUCACCUAUACACACACACACUGCUCACCUAUACACACACACUGCUCACCUAUAUACACACACUGCUCACCUAUACACACACACACACACUGCUCACCUAUACACACACACUGCUCACCUAUAUACACACACUGCUCACCUAUACACGCGCACACACACUGCUCACCUAUACACACGCACACUGCUCACCUAUACACACGCACACUGCUCACCUAUACACACGCACACUGCUCACCUAUACACACGCACACUGCUCACCUAUACACACGCACACUGCUCACCUAUACACACGCACACUGCUCACCUAUACACACGCACACUGCUCACCUAUACACACGCACACUGCUCACCUAUACACACGCACACUGCUCACCUAUACACACGCACACUGCUCACCUAUACGCACACUGCUCACCUAUACACACACACACUGCUCACCUAUAUACACACACACUGCUCACCUAUACACACACACACUGCUCACCUAUAUACACACUGCUCACCUAUACACACACACACACACUGCUCACCUAUACACACACACACACACACACUGCUCACCUAUACACACACACCACACACACACACACACACUGCUCACCUAUACACACACACUGCUCACCUAUACACACACACACACACACACACACAGACACACACUGCUCACCUAUAUACACACACACUGCUCACCUAUAUACACACUGCUCACCUAUAUACACACACACACACUGCUCACCUAUAUACACACACACACACUGCUCACCUAUAUACACACACACUGCUCACCUAUACACACACACACUGCUCACCUAUAUACACACUGCUCACCUAUACACACACACACACACACUGCUCACCUAUACACACACACACACACACACACACACACACACACUGCUCACCUAUACACACACACACUGCUCACCUAUAUACACACACACACACUGCUCACCUAUAUACACACACACUGCUCACCUAUAUACAGACACACACACACUGCUCACCUAUAUACACACACACUGCUCACCUAUAUACACACACACUGCUCACCUAUAUACACACACACACACCAACACACACACUGCUCACCUAUAUACACACACACUUCUCACCUAUACACCACACACUGCUCACCUAUAUACACACUGCUUCACCUAUACACACACACACACACACUGCUCACCUAUACACACACACACACACUGCUCACCUAUACACACGCACACUGCUCACCUAUACACACUCACACUGCUCACCUAUACACACGCACACUGCUCACCUAUACACACGCACACUGCUCACCUAUACCAACGCACACUGCUCCCUAUACACACGCACACUGCUCACCUAUACACACGCACACUGCUCACCUAUACACACACACUGCUCACCUAUACACACGCACACUGCUCACCUAUACACACGCACACUGCUCACCUAUACACACGCACACUGCUCACCUAUACACACGCACACUGCUCACCUAUACACACGCACACUGCUCACCUAUACACACACACACUGCUCACCUAUACACACACACACUGCUCACCUAUACACACACACACUGCUCACCUAUACACACACACACUGCUCACCUAUACACACACACACUGCUCACCUAUACACACACACACACACUGCUCACCUAUACACACACACACACACACUGCUCACCUAUACACACACACACACACACACACACACACACUGCUCACCUAUACACACACACUGCUCACCUAUACACACACACACACACACACACACACAGACACACACUGCUCACCUAUAUACACACACACUGCUCACCUAUAUACACACACACUGCUCACCUAUAUACACACUGCUCACCUAUAUACACACACACACACUGCUCACCUAUAUACACACACACUGCUCACCUAUACACACACACACUGCUCACCUAUAUACACACUGCUCACCUAUACACACACACACACACACUGCUCACCUAUACACACACACACACACCACACACACACACUGCUCACCUAUACACACACACACUGCUCACCUAUAUACACACACACACACUGCUCACCUAUAUACACACACACUGCUCACCUAUAUACAGACACACACACACACACACACACACUGCUCACCUAUAUACACACACACACUGCUCACCUAUAUACACACACACUGCUCACCUAUAUACACACACACACACACACACACUGCUCACCUAUAUACACACACACUGCUCACCUAUACACACACACACUGCUCACCUAUAUACACACUGCUCACCUAUACACACACACACACACUGCUCACCUAUACACACACACUGCUCACCUACACACACACACACACACACACACACACACACUGCUCACCUAUAUACACACACACUGCUCACCUAUAUACACACUGCUCACCUAUACACACACACACACACACACACACACACACACUGCUCACCUAUAUACACACACACUGCUCACCUAUAUACACACUGCUCACCUAUAUACACACACACACACACCACACACACACACACACACUGCUCACCUAUAUACACACACACUGCUCACCUAUAUACACACACACUGCUCACCUAUACACACACACACACACACACACACUGCUCACCUAUACACACACACACUGCUCACCUAUACACACACACACACUGCUCACCUAUAUACACACACACACACUGCUCACCUAUAUACACACACACUGCUCACCUACACACACACACACACACACACACACACACACACACACACACCACACACUGCUCACCUAUAUACACACACACACACACACACACACACUGCUCACCUAUACACACACACACUACUCACACACACACACACACCACACACACACACACUGCUCACCUAUACACACACACACACACACACACACACACACACACACACACACACACACACACUGCUCACCUAUACACACACACACACACUGCUCACCUAUACACACACACACACUGCUCACCUAUACACACACACACUGCUCACCUAUACACACACACACACACUGCUCACCUAUACACACACACACACACACUGCUCUCCUAUACACACACACACACACUGCUCACCCUAUACACACACACACACACUGCUCACCUAUACACACACACACACACACACUGCUCACCUAUACACACACACACACUGCUCACCUAUACACACACACUGCUCACCUAUACACACACUGCUCACCUAUAUACACACACUGCUCACCUAUACACACACACACACUGCUCACCUAUACACACACACACACCACACACUGCUCACCUAUACACACACACACACUGCUCACCUAUAUACACACACACUGCUCACCUACACACACACACACACACACACACACACACACACACACACACCACACACACACACACACACACACUGCUCACCUAUACACACACACACUGCUCACCUAUACACACACACACACACACACACACACACACACACACACACCACACACACACACACACUGCUCACCUAUAUACACACACACACACACACUGCUCACCUAUACACACACACACACACACACUGCUCACCUAUACACACACACACACACACACUGCUCACCUAUACACACACACACACACUGCUCACCUAUACACACACACACACACUGCUCACCUAUACACACACACACACACUGCUCACCUAUACACACACACACACACCACUGCUCACCUAUACACACACACACACUGCUCACCUAUACACACACACUGCUCACCUAUACACACACUGCUCACCUAUAUACACACACUGCUCACCUAUACACACACACACACUGCUCACCUAUACACACACACACACUGCUCACCUAUAUACACACACACACACUGCUCACCUAUAUACACACACACUGCUCACCUACACACACACACACACACACACACACACACACACACUGCUCACCUAUACACACACACACUGCUCACCUAUACACACACACACACACACACACACACACACACACACACACACACACACACACACACACUGCUCACCUAUAUACACACACACACACACUGCUCACCUAUAUACACACACACACACACUGCUCACCUAUACACACACACACACACUGCUCACCUAUAUACACACACACUGCUCACCUAUAUACACACACACACACUGCUCACCUAUAUACACACACACACUGCUCACCUAUAUACACACACACACACUGCUCACCUAUACACACACACACACACUGCUCACCUAUAUACACACACACACACUGCUCACCUAUACACACACACACACUGCUCACCUAUAUACACACACACUGCUCACCUAUACACACACACACUGCUCACCUAUACACACACACACUGCUCACCUAUACACACACACACUGCUCACCAUCUACACACACACACACACUGCUCACCUAUACACACACACACACACACACACACACACUGCUCACCUAUACACACACACUGCUCACCUAUACACGCACACUGCUCACCUAUACGCACACACACUGCUCACCUAUACGCACGCACACUGCUCACCUAUACGCACGCACACUGCUCACCUAUACGCACGCACACUGCUCACCUAUACGCACGCACACUGCUCACCUAUACGCACGCACACUGCUCACCUAUACGCACGCACACUGCUCACCUAUACGCACGCACACUGCUCACCUAUACGCACGCACACUGCUCACCUAUACACACGCACACUGCUCACCUAUACACACACACACUGCUCACCUAUACACACACACACUGCUCACCUAUACACACACACACUGCUCACCUAUACACACACACUGCUCACCUAUACACACACACACUUACAUGUACACUGA